CUCAAUGUAGCAAAUUUCAUGCAAUGGAUUUAAGCUCCAUAAAUAGAGUUCCUCUCUUUGAGA
rnacentral:tRNA from 1 species